rnacentral:rRNA from 1 species
UGCGUGACCGACCUGCCCCAUACACCGGAAUAGCUCCUGGAAACGGGUGGUAAUGCCGGAUGCUCCAGUUGGAUGCAUGUCCUUCUGGGAAAGAUUCAUCGGUAUGGGAUGGGGUCGCGUCCUAUCAGCUUGAUGGCGGGGUAACGGCCCACCAUGGCUUCGACGGGUAGCCGGCCUGAGAGGGCGACCGGCCACAUUGGGACUGAGAUACGGCCCAGAU